UUUUCAGUCCGUUUAGUGUAGAGGCAGCAGAGUGCGGAGCGGCGGUCUUCACCGGAGACACUGAGCUCACUGUCUGUGGGAUUUCCUUGCCUGUAGAUACCACUGAGCUGCACCGCUGACAGCGCGCAGGGCUGUCAAGCUGUUCCGCUUCCUCCUUUUCGGCUCCGACUGAUGUCACGCAACAGUCCCUCAGCUGCGGGAGGGAGGACGCACCUUGUCCUGCUGAGGGAAUUUGGGAUGUGGGCGUCAUCGUGUGGAAUAAGGACGCAUUACACAUUUUCAGCGGCUAUUUGGAAAAACAGAUCUUUUCUUCUAUGUGCUCAGUCCGACCCAAGUACUUCACACAUAUCGAUGCAUUGAUGAUAAGUUUAAGUGGUUUUAGCUCUUUUUUUGUGCUUCUGUGUUUCACAAACUGAAUAUUAUGCAAGGAUAAUAAAAAAGUAACCAUCUUUUAACAUUUGCACUUUAUAGAGGGGAAACACAGGAUAUGGGUAAGAUCACCGCUGUAAAUUGCACUUACUGUGCUGUCAAAGAAGUGCUUACACCUGA